rnacentral:lncRNA from 1 species
CGUGCUGCUUAUGGCGGCGCUGGAGAGGGGGCGCUGAGCUGUUGGGUAUGAAGUGUAACAGAACAGACUUUACCACCUGAAACUGCUGCUUCAAGUUCAGAUCAGGCAAGGAACAAACCUCGUAACAACUAACAAGACCAAAGAAGAGUACACUUAAGUUGAAGACACAACACUUGAUCUGAAACAAGAAGUUUGUGCCUACUCAACAGCUUUGAAAGAGCACUUCCCAACGCUGCUAGUAGUCUUUGUUUUCUUCAGUGCUGUACUGUGAGAUUGCCCGGUACAGCAGCAGUUGUAUUCUUUAUUAGCUUGGUAGAUCAUUUUCUCUCGCUCUUUUUUUUAAUACUAGCAACUUUCAUCCUUUGAAACGUGUGCUGAAAAAGAAGAAUCAGCAAAUACUACUGAAAGUGCAAUAUUUGAGUAUCACUGCGAGAUGAGCUUUGAUCCAAACCUUCUCCACAACAAUGGACAUAAUGGGUACCCUAAUGGUACUUCAGCAGCACUGCGUGAAACUGGGGUUAUUGAAAAACUGUUAACCUCUUACGGAUUUAUUCAGUGUUCAGAACGUCAAGCUAGACUUUUCUUCCACUGUUCACAGUAUAAUGGCAACCUGCAAGACUUAAAAGUAGGAGGUAAUCUGUCAGUUCUCCUUUGUAAAAAUGUAAUCACAAAAUUUGUCUUGCAUAUCAAUUUGUUCAUGAGUGUUUUUCAAAAAGUUUUAUGUAAAUUAAAACAUUUUGGACUUUUAGUUGUACUGUUUAGUGAAGAAUAUCUGUAUAAACCAGCAGAAUCCUUGAAAGAUUAUAUUUGCAUAUAUUUACAAUAAAUGCUUGGAAGAUU